rnacentral:rRNA from 1 species
CGAUAUGCUUUGGGGAGCUGUAAGUAAGCUUUGAUCCAGAGAUUUCCGAAUGGGGAAACCCAGCAUGAGUUAUGUCAUGUUAUCGAUAUGUGAAUACAUAGCAUAUCAGAAGGCACACCCGGAGAACUGAAACAUCUUAGUACCCGGAGGAAGAGAAAGAAAAUUCGAUUCCCUUAGUAGCGGCGAGCGAAACGGGAAGAGCCCAAACCAACAAGCUUGCUUGUUGGGGUUGUAGGACACUCUAUACGGAGUUACAAAGGACGACAUUAGACGAAUCAUCUGGAAAGAUGAAUCAAAGAAGGUAAUAAUCCUGUAGUCGAAAAUGUUGUCUCUCUUGAGUGGAUCCUGAGUACGACGGAGCACGUGAAAUUCCGUCGGAAUCUGGGAGGACCAUCUCCUAAGGCUAAAUACUCUCUAGUGACCGAUAGUGAACCAGUACCGUGAGGGAAAGGUGAAAAGCACCCCGGAAGGGGAGUGAAAUAGAACCUGAAACCGUGUGCUUACAAGUAGUCAGAGCCCGUUAAUGGGUGAUGGCGUGCCUUUUGUAGAAUGAACCGGCGAGUUACGAUUUGAUGCAAGGUUAAGCAGUAAAUGUGGAGCCGUAGCGAAAGCGAGUCUGAAUAGGGCGUUUAGUAUUUGGUCGUAGACCCGAAACCAGGUGAUCUACCCUUGGUCAGGUUGAAGUUCAGGUAACACUGAAUGGAGGACCGAACCGACUUACGUUGAAAAGUGAGCGGAUGAACUGAGGGUAGCGGAGAAAUUCCAAUCGAACCUGGAGAUAGCUGGUUCUCUCCGAAAUAGCUUUAGGGCUAGCCUCAAGUGAUGAUUAUUGGAGGUAGAGCACUGUUUGGACGAGGGGCCCCUCUCGGGUUACCGAAUUCAGACAAACUCCGAAUGCCAAUUAAUUUAACUUGGGAGUCAGAACAUGGGUGAUAAGGUCCGUGUUCGAAAGGGAAACAGCCCAGACCACCAGCUAAGGUCCCAAAAUAUAUGUUAAGUGGAAAAGGAUGUGGCGUUGCCCAGACAACUAGGAUGUUGGCUUAGAAGCAGCCAUCAUUUAAAGAGUGCGUAAUAGCUCACUAGUCGAGUGACACUGCGCCGAAAAUGUACCGGGGCUAAACAUAUUACCGAAGCUGUGGAUUGUCCUUUGGACAAUGGUAGGAGAGCGUUCUAAGGGCGUUGAAGCAUGAUCGUAAGGACAUGUGGAGCGCUUAGAAGUGAGAAUGCCGGUGUGAGUAGCGAAAGACGGGUGAGAAUCCCGUCCACCGAUUGACUAAGGUUUCCAGAGGAAGGCUCGUCCGCUCUGGGUUAGUCGGGUCCUAAGCUGAGGCCGACAGGCGUAGGCGAUGGAUAACAGGUUGAUAUUCCUGUACCACCUAUA